rnacentral:lncRNA from 1 species
UCAUUUAUACAAAGCAGAAAAGCCUGGAUAACUGAGGAGUGCCUGUAUCCCAAAAGUUAUUGAAUUUUGCCAGAGGAGCCAUUACCGUAGUAUUAGUAGUAGAAUAUUUUGAAAAAAAAAAAUGUUUGAUAGCAGACACAUUCCAGAAAAACAAAAACAAAAACAAAAAAAACCACAAACAAACAAAAAACACAUAGAAAAUUCAUGACCUGAUGUUCCUAAUCAACACACUUGGAGUACAGUUCAUGCUCAGAGCAGUGCUGAGAGUCUGUUUAUCUGCCUGCCUGGACUGCAGCUCUGCCUUUGGGGGAAUUGCUGAGCUGUAUCCCUUCCUGCCUCUGUCCCCUGCAGCUGGCCCUGCAGCAGGAAUCUCUCCAGAAGAGGAGUCCCUCCAGGCAGGCAGCAUUUAACCUCCACAAGGAAAGAACAUACACAGGCAGUGGAGGAUGAUGAGGAGAUGCAGUUUCACUGUCCACCAGCUGGUAAAGAAGUCACAAGCAGGUGCCAAGUGUGACUGCCCUUUCUUCCUAAGGCCAUUACAGACAACCAGAUACCUUGGUGCUUUCUUACCACUUACAAACUCUGUGCAAGAGCUGGCAGUGGCAUGGACCAGGCAAGGCUGGGAGACACUCAUUGCUCUUCAGAGGCAGGGAGGCUCUGAGAUCACGGGCACAGGAGCACCUGGGGACUUGACACGGCUGUGAGCUGGGCGUGAUGGGAGUCCCUCAGCCAGCUGAGUGGGAACGGCUGCUCCAACAGCACUGAUUCCGUACAGAUGUUGCAAGGUCAGUUUGUACACUUAUUGGAGAGCCCAGUUGACUGGUGAAACAGCAUUGCUCAAGUGUUGGAAAGGUGAAAAUUCAAAGUCAGGUUCUAACCAAGCCAUGCCACCAGCGAUCUCUGAUUUGUAACAAUUAAUGGCCUUUUUGUUCUGGCUUUGUGCAUCAUGCAAUGAGAUCAUGAUCCAUGACUACACUCCUAUGCAAUAAAAUAAUACAAAUAAUUGAUACUAAUAAUAAUGGGUUGAGUUUUAUUAUGUCUCUCGCACUGCUUAAAAUCCCCUGUGAGCAGUUACUGUCAAUGAGAAUAUUUAAUGUCUUGAUGCAAUUUGAAAAUGUAGUGCAAAUGACAGUGUAAUAAAACAAAGAACUUCAUCAACUUCUAAUUGAAAUUAAUGAGGACUGAACUUCUACUUUGUGUGUAAGAGACUUUUCCCCCAACUUUAAAAGCUGUUGGCUCCAGGAGUGGUAUGACUCAAUUUGAAUUAUCUUCUUUUUCUACCUCAGAAAGAUUUUACUGCAGAAAACUAGUCUUAUUCCAGACAACCAGUAAACAUCAUACAGAUUAAAAAGUUAGAUUUUUCUCUCAAUUCCUGCAGAAAUGUUUUCCCUAUGUAUUAGCAGAUCUGUAAGAAAUCAUAGCCAUCUGUAUUUUGUGAGACUAGGAGCUGAAAAUGCAUUCCUUAUCUAAGGGACUAUUUUCUACCAUAUUAUUUCAGAAAUUUAUACAUAGACCAAAUCUUAACAAAAAAGACUCUGUUAUUUCAAGGUCAUUUUGAAC